rnacentral:rRNA from 1 species
UACGAAGGGUGCAAGCGUUACUCGGAAUUACUGGGCGUAAAGCGUGCGUAGGUGGUUUGUUAAGUCUGUUGUGAAAGCCCCGGGCUCAACCUGGGAAUGGCAAUGGAUACUGGCAGGCUAGAAUCUGGCAGAGGGGGUAGAAUUCCACGUGUAGCAGUGAAAUGCGUAGAGAUGUGGAGGAACACCGAUGGCGAAGGCAGCCCCCUGGGUCAAGAUUGACGCUCAUGCACGAAAGCGUGGGGAGCAAACAGG